GCCCCCCCCGCCGCGCGCGCACGCCUGACGUCAGCGGCCAGCGUGAGUCACGCGCGCAGGGAGAGCGCGAGGCUGUCUCUCCCUCCCCCCCCCUGCCUUCUCCAGCUCGGCCCAGACCGGUUCCAGCCUGCUGGGGCCGGUCCCAGCUUCCUCAACUGUCACCAACCUCUUGGUCGGGCCGUGGGGCGGGAAACUCGGUCUGGGCCUCCGAGCUGGGAAGGCAGCGGCUCGGGUCCCGAGUGCACACUUAUCGGGCUAUGUUAGACACUAAAGAAAGCUUCCCCUCAGUCCAUAUGCAUCUGCUUUGACUGGUGGUUUUGUCGUCCUACAAAGACUGACUUAUUGGUGAGGGCAGCUGGACAGCUCAAAACAACUUAGAACAGUGCAUCUUGGGCACAGUCUGUGGACUUCUCUGGAGAUAGCACCCCGUGUAAGUGCAGAGAACAAGACACCCUCCUGGACCUACUGCUUCCCGCUCCCAGAACCCCAUGCGAUGCCUGAAGUGUGUAGAAUUUGACAACAGUAUCGAGAGCUGAGGAGAAAGAGAAGAUGGAAAGGAGUCUAACAAGUAAAAAAUGUCGUAGCAUUCUCUGUGUGGUGACCUUUUUCCUGUUGGUGGCUCGGUUUGUUAGGAGCUAAAGAAGAAAAUGAGGCCUAUGACAGUUACGUCGUGUCGUACUUGAGUUUGUCCAAACAUUGCCUCCCUGUCUACUAUUUAUGCCACAGUUUGCUUCCCAUGUUAAGCAUUGACUCAUUAUCUCCUGCAUGGCCACCGUGAGUCCUGAAAGACUGGCUUCUUAUGAGGAGUGGGAGGUUCAGGGCUCAUUCUUCCAAGGAAAUCUGGCCUAUUUGCAAAACCCUAACGCUAACCCUAACCCUAACCCUUCUCACGGAAGAGAAGUAGAUGUGUUCCAGAAAAAAAGUUAUUGAUUAAAAUUUUAACUAGUUUUUA